CCUCUGAGAGGUACAAGUGAUGUGACUUCAAUUGUUUUAAUUUGCUACACCUUGUCUCCCUUUGCCUCGGGGCCCUGGAGGGACAGGAGCUCCCUGGCGCGGUGCUCGUGGCUAGCCGGGAGAGAACGGGCCGCUGGGAGAGGCCACCGCGUGGCUGUUCUACCCUCGAGGCUUGUGCCACCCAGGCAGGGGCCCGCGUGGGUCCUGAAAGCACCUCCAUCUCCAACACCACGCGGGGUGUGCGUUCAGAGCCCCAUCUGGCCUGAAGAUGUCUCUAUUCAUGCAUGGUGAGGGGCAGCUCUCACUGCCUCUGACCUCUGCGGUUUUGUGACCAGUCUUGUUCCCCGUGACAGGGGUCAACCACGGUGGGGCAGAAAGCCCAGUUCUUAGAAAAGGCUUCUCAGGACCUCACUACUCACGUGGCUCCAGAGACCAACAGCACCUCCCUGGGGAGCUAGUAGAAAUGCAGAUCCUUGGGCCCACCCCUGACCUGCUGGGUUGGAAGCUGGACUUAACAAGAUUCCCAGGUGUGCACAGGAAAGCCUGAGGGGCCCUGCUCUAGGGUGAACCUUGCUAACACGCAGCCUCUGAUGAUUUGAAGAGGAGUGGGAACAGCUGGCUUCCUGCCAGGCUGCUUGUUCAAGGAUAUUAUUCUCAAGCACCAGCGGGUCAGACUUUCAGGGAAAAGAAAUUAAUGGCAGGAAGAGUUUGGAAAUUCCGGCUUCUGCUAAUUUCAUAAAAGCAAAUCAUAGGACAGAAAGGCUCACGAUUGCUGGGAGCUCACUUUUUUCUUCAUCGUUAUUACUCAGUCUUCAAGGGUUACUGAUAUCUUUCUUCUUUUCUCUUUAAUUUUCCUGACCAGUGACAUGUCUCUCCGCUGGUUAUUGGACUCCAACUCACUCCCUUCCCAUCUUGGUUGCUCUCCAGUCAUCUUCCACCUCCGCCCCUGAUCACGGGCGUGCACAGCAGCCCAGGCUGCCUAGGGCCCACCCCCUUCGGUUUUCACCUUUUCCGUUAAUCUGCUGCUGCAUCUGCAUCGUCUCCUGUCACCCUCGCCCUACAGCUUGGCUGUGGAUAUGGAUGUCUUUUGCUUGACUCUUCGGAUCCCCUCUCCUCCCUUUGUCAUCCAGCUCUGGGAUGUAGGAGGCUGACACAGUGGGGACUUCGUCAAUGGCUCCCUUCCCUCCUGGCAGGGAGGCAAGUGUGGUCAGGAUAUUGAUGGCCUGGGCUCACCCUCUGCUGGGUCCCUCUCCAUGCCACUCCUCUGUCCCAGGUCUGGUUACAGCUCUCUGCUCUGGUCCUGUAGGCUGACUGCCACUGCUACCAGUCUGGGUCUUGCCAUCUCCGUGGCCUCCCCACCCACUGCCCACACCUCUGUACACCAUCCCUUGAUUAAACUCUCCUGAAAUUAUCCAGCUUGAGGGUGCCAUCUGUCUCCUCUUGGGCCCUGACCACUGACACACAGCUCUGCUACCCUGCACACCUCACAUUCUUGAAGGUCCUCAUGGCCUUGGCCUUCUAAGAAAUAAACGCAGUGGUGGUUUCUUUCACCUUCAUCCCCUUUCUGCUGCAUCUGAAGGACAGUUCUCCUUGGAUUACUGGCCCCCAAAACAACACAUUCAGAAUGUCUGAAAUAACUCACUUUGCUCCCCAAAUUUGCUCCCCCUAUCUGCUCUAGGGGCAUCACCACUUGCCCCACCCAGGCUUCCACCCUGCCAUCACCUCACCCCAUCCCUCUUUGUCAGAGAGUCUCAGAAUCAUCAAGUUGGGGGAGCCUGGGACCUCCUGGUCCACCCCAACGGGCACUGAAGCUUGGUGAGCAAUCUGCCCAAGCUUACCUGGCUGCUUUAGGAUGUGUCCUCAGAGGAAAAGGUCAGGCUCUUUCCAUCCCCUAUCCCCCUUUCCUGACAUGGGUGCUUCAGAGUGACAUGCACACCUGCCCUGUCCACACCCUCUGACCACAGCCAUCUCAAACACUUGGUUCUCCCCAAACAUCCUC
rnacentral:lncRNA from 1 species